ensembl:lncRNA
UUCAACACUUUGGGAGUUUGCUAUGGCAGGUCAUUUCCUCCUGUGUAUACCAGCAUGCAUGCAUGAGGGGCAGCUCUGAAAUGGUGUCAGGACAACUUUUGGAAGCUGUAGUAAGAAGAUACACUUUUGACUUGCCUCUCACUCAGCUCUGAAAUCCUGAGGUUCGGGCCUCAAAGAACAGAGAAAUUUCUCCCACCACCUCCAUGGCAUUACAGAUGAGCUGACUGGAAUACCAGAAUCCAUGGGAUUGCAGAGCGGGGAAUUUUCAAAGAUCUGCUUAUAAAAACUGUGGUAAAGAUAGAUCCCGGAAGUGGACCAUAUGCCCACCGAGCCAACCAGAGAAAUGCCUGUCAUGCGGGACCACACCUCUUAUCACAAAAUAUGGCCCCAAAGCCCAGAAUUCAGCCUCAAUGGGCCCAAAGAAGAGGAACAACCAAAGAUCAUUAGUCAUUUGAAUGCUUCCAGCUAUCCCAGACAAGCGACUGGUUAUCUUAUUUCUGAAAAAUCUCCAGGAUGGGAACAUUCCUGUUUCUCCUGGCAACUAGCUCCUCUAUAUCAGAACACUUCCCUCAGGGUGACGCAGCCUAUUUUCUUCCAAUUUCUCCUUCUCUCCAGGUGGUUCUAUUAUAUUCUAGAAUCAUUUCACCAAGCAGACGGACUUGAAGAUUCCAUUUUAUCUGCCAUUAUAGUCAUAAUAAUCUCUUUUUAAAGGGCUAUCUAAAAAUUUCAACUGCCUAAGGUCAGCCAUAGUGAGAAUAACACACUCUUGAGAAAUUCUCUCUUAGAAAAAUUAGUCAAGUUCUUCAGGUUGCGAGUAACAUAGACCCACUCACACUGCCUUAAAUAAAAAGUAGGUUCUCACUUUGUUUUAGUUUCUUUCUUUGUUUCUCUCCUAAUAAGGAAUGAACAUUGUCUUGGGUACCCAAGGGCAGAGAAGUAUCCCAGCCCUUAUCAGAAGUUAGAACUAGGAGCAGGAAAGUCCACACUGAACUCAGCCAGGAAUCUCAGUUCCUCUGUCAUCUCCACCAGGUCUUACAGGGUCUUAUCG